GCUCAUCUCGCCCAGCCAGCAGGAGAGCGCGCCGAAGCGCACGGUGUGGAAGAGCACCGACUUCGCCGGCUGCCCCGGACUCACGCCGAUGCAGACGGCGGGCAGCUCGGAGCCUGGCCCGGCCCCCUACCCGGACCAGCAGGAACUUGUUCAUGGGCUGGUACCACUGAAGCAGGACCACGGACGUCUCCAAUGCCCCGCACAGGAACGGGCCCCCCGAGCUCGCACCCUCCGCUGUAGAGGUUCAAGGAUGCUGCUUCCAGAUCCCAAAGUGCUCAUCAUCCCGUCUCCCAGACUUCAAGGGACCCGGUGUCCCACACUUCAGCCUUAGAGUGCCCGGUAUCCCAGCGUCUAAGGGACCUGGCCUCCUGGCCCCCGGCCCCCAGCUCCAGCGGGC